UGCUGUGUAAAAGCGAAUUUGAUCGGUAUCGGUAUCGAAACGUCAGGAUGUCAACAAAACUGUCAACAUGUCAAUUCUUACCACCACAUCGAACAAUCAAAGCAAUCAAAACGCAGUUUGUUCUUAGUCUUGAAGUUGCUUCCUGUCUACAUGCAACGCGCACACGCAAAAUCCUGAUAACACAGAUCUGUGUAAAAAAAUUACACAGGUUGUUGAACAUGUUCUAGCUGUCAAAACUGUGUAAAUUUUCAACACAGAUCUGUGUAAAAAGUUACACAGAUUUUCGAUCAGCUUCCCUUUUAAAUCUGGGUAAAAAAGUGUUGGCAUUUUUUCAGCAGUCAGAGCAACCAGCAGUUAGCAAAGAUGGCGGGUAAUUUUUCUAAAAAAUAUUACAUGAAUUGCUUUUAUUAAACAAGUCAACUUUCCAGAUAGCGGACCUAUUGCACUGGAAUCGAUGCCGUAUCCUAGGAAUUGUUAGUUGGUCAAGAGUCGGCGGAUGAUGCGUUGAUUGAAUGAAUGAUGUCAAUGAAGCCAAAUUCCUGCGUCCGAAAGCCUAGAUGUGCAGGCCCUGAAGUGGAACGCUCUGCCAGGAACGUAUACAUCAUCGCUCCAAGAAAACUAGAUCACUUUCCGGGACCAAACUAGCUCCAACAUCGUCCAAUAUGAUAUCUACCGAAAGAUGUAAAAUAAUUCAGCGACAGACACUGUUGAACAUCAAUAAACAUCAAUCUUGUUUUAUUUUGAUUUAAUUAAAGUAUUUAAAACGUUUUUUAUUAAUCUAGAAGUAAAAAAAUGUGCCUGAAAUAAUUUACCCAGAUCUGUGUAAAAUUUUACACAGGUCACUGGUUGAAAAAUUACACAGAUUUGACAGACAACGGCUGUACACACUUCUGUGUACAAGCCUUUUACACAGAUUCUGUGUAUUCCCGGUUUUGGGCGAUCUGUGUCAAAUUUUACACAGAUCUGUGUUAUGUGGAUUUUGCGUGCAUGAUUUCAAGAAUGACCUCGUUUUGCUUUUUUUCCGUCGAGCGUGGUUCAUCGCCUCGCCAUUUUUGUUGUUGUGGCGAUUUGUAUCAGCGCCAGGCUAAUAUGUUACACGCAAAAUCCUGAUAACACAGAUCUGUGUAAAAAAAUUACACAGGUUGUUGAACAUGUUCUAGCUGUCAAAACUGUGUAAAUUUUCAACACAGAUCUGUGUAAAAAGUUACACAGAUUUUCGAUCAGCUUCCCUUUUAAAUCUGGGUAAAAAAGUGUUGGCAUUUUUUCAGCAGUCAGAGCAACCAGCAGUUAGCAAAGAUGGCGGGUAAUUUUUCUAAAAAAUAUUACAUGAAUUGCUUUUAUUAAACAAGUCAACUUUCCAGAUAGCGGACCUAUUGCACUGGAAUCGAUGCCGUAUCCUAGGAAUUGUUAGUUGGUCAAGAGUCGGCGGAUGAUGCGUUGAUUGAAUGAAUGAUGUCAAUGAAGCCAAAUUCCUGCGUCCGAAAGCCUAGAUGUGCAGGCCCUGAAGUGGAACGCUCUGCCAGGAACGUAUACAUCAUCGCUCCAAGAAAACUAGAUCACUUUCCGGGACCAAACUAGCUCCAACAUCGUCCAAUAUGAUAUCUACCGAAAGAUGUAAAAUAAUUCAGCGACAGACACUGUUGAACAUCAAUAAACAUCAAUCUUGUUUUAUUUUGAUUUAAUUAAAGUA